CUAUCUUUGAUAGAGUGGCGCACGGGUGAGUAACACGUGGGAAUCUGCCCUUUUGUUCGGGACAACAGUUGGAAACGACUGCUAAUACCGGAUACGCCCUUCGGGGGAAAGGUCCGCCGCAGAAGGAGGAGCCCGCGUCCGAUUAGCUUGUUGGUAGGGUAAUGGCCUACCAAGGCGACGAUCGGUAGCUGGUCUGAGAGGAUGAUCAGCCACACUGGGACUGAGACACGGCCCAGACUCCUACGGGAGGCAGCAGUGGGGAAUAUUGGACAAUGGGGGCAACCCUGAUCCAGCAAUGCCGCGUGUGUGAUGAAGGCCUUAGGGUUGUAAAGCACUUUCACUGGUGAAGAUGAUGACGGUAACCAGAGAAGAAGCCCCGGCUAACUUCGUGCCAGCAGCCGCGGUAAUACGAAGGGGGCGAGCGUUGUUCGGAAUUACUGGGCGUAAAGGGAGCGCAGGCGGUUCAUUUAGUUAGGCGUGAAAGCCCCAGGCUCAACCUG
rnacentral:rRNA from 1 species